AAUAUGUUAACGAAUCUUUAUAUUAUAAGAUGCAAAUUUGACAUUAAGUUUUUAUAUAAAUUUAAAUAGGUAGUACAUAUCAAACAUGUGGUUAAAUAUAUAUAUUGAAUAGUUAAUAAAUAUAUUAAGAUGAUGCAAUUCAUAAAUUACAAUUUAUCUUCAUGAGAUUACAAAGAUAUAGAAGAUAAGUUGGGAAACAAUAUACACCUUCUCAUGCAAAUAGAAGCCUCAUACAACCUAUCCACAAAAAAGAAGAGUGAGAAAGUAUUCACACCAGUCUAACAUUUAACAGACCAUGCAUCUCACUAAUCCUUGAAUAUUGGUGAGAAAGUGAAAAUACCUCACAUUGGUUAUGCAUCUCACUAAUCCUUGAAUAUUUACUUUCUUACCAUAUGCAAAACAACCUAUAUUCGUGAAUCUUGUAUGCUUAACCAAUGUUGAAGCAUUUUAACUCUAGACUAACAACGAUGUUUAUGUUUCCAUUAAAGAAAUCAAAAACAUUUUUGCAAGACUCUCGAUGAUCUUCCUUACUCACUCUCUUUAUCAUAUUCAUACCAUAUGCACCCCUUCUUUUUAACUAGAUUUUAUGUCACACUUACCGGAAGUCUCACAUACUAUGAAACCAGCAUUAACUGUAUCGUCAUCAAACAAUCAACCAUAAGUAUAAUACAGACUAACAAUUAAAACUGAUAUUCCAUAAUAGUGAGGACCGUAGUAUGAAUCGAAGUUUAGAUGUUUUCUGAUACACAAGAUCCUCAUUUGAGGCAAGUGUAGAGCAUACUUCCAUCUAUGUGGAGGAAUUAUGAUAUGAAUAUAAUAACUAAAGUUUUUAGGGUGAAAGAAAAGAUAUUUAGAACAUAGUUGUUCUUAAACACACAAGGAAGUUUAUUUGUGA
rnacentral:lncRNA from 1 species